ACCCCUGUGGUCCCCACGGUAGAGCUGCUCGCGCAUCACCUCUUCGCUCCUCUCUUCGGAAGCUCACCACUGAAGCUCCCUUCCCCACCUCAAUCCAAACACAGAAUAUCACCUGCAUCGCCUCUGUGAAUUCCCUGAACUUGCCUGCUUGACUGAACUAUAGAACUCCUGAAGACUGCCCUAAAUGAUUACUGCUUGAAUCUCCUCUCUUCGGAAGCUCACCACUGAAGCUCCCUUCCCCACCUCAAUCCAAACACAGAAUAUCACCUG